ensembl:lncRNA
GGAAGGUCCAGUACAUAGUAUGGAGCAUAUGAAAUACACUCCACACUACGUGCUGAUCUGACUACAGAAUCGCCCCGUAGUGUUUUGUCACUGCCCUUAUAUACUGUCGAGUCAGGUCCCCAUUAACACCAAUGAGUCAAGCAAGACCACAGUUAGACCUUCUGAGUUAAGUCAGGCCACUGUUAAUCUUCAUGAGCAGAGUCAAGUCACCAAGGAUCGUCAUGAGUCCAGUCAAGACGCAGUUGAUCUUCCGGAACAAGGUCAGGUUACUAUGAACCUUCAUGAGUCAAGUCAAGCCACAGUUGAUAUUCCUGAACCCAGUCAAAUCACCACGGAUCUACCAGAGCCUCGUUACGUCUCAGUUGAACUUCCAGAGCCUUGUCACGUCUCAGCUGAACUUCCUGAGUGCUCAUCCUAUCCUGUCAUGGCCAUGGAGGCCAUCCAGGAACUCACCGCCUGCCCUGUCAUGGACAUGGAGGCUAUCUACCAUCUCAUCAUGGCCACGGAGGCCACCCUUAACCUGUUCAUGUUCUCUAUUUCAGCCUUACCUGACCAGACUUGCUCUCCUGUGCCAGUCCUCUGCUCCGCCCUGGUGGGCUUCUGUCUUGACCGCACGGCUGUGGUGGUCCUCUGUGCCUCCCUGGUGGGCGUCAGUCCUGUCUGCUUGGCUGUGGUGGGCUCCAGUUCCGUCUGCGCCAUCCCGGUGGGCUCCAGUUCCACCUGCUCCACCCUGGAUUCCGGCCCUGUCGGCUCUGCCCUGGGCCCCUGAACUUUUCGUUCCCUCCUGGCCUCUUUGUGUUGUUGUUGUUGUUGUUGUUGUUGUUGUUGUUGUUUUUUGGUGUGUGUGUGGGUUUUUUUUUUUUCUUUUUUUUUUUUCGGUCUCUGUUUCCUCCUAUGGUCCUGGCCCUCCGUCCCUCCCCCUUAUCCUCCACCAGUCCACCUCCCUCCUGGUCUCUGAGUUCUUUGGUUUGUUCUUGUGUUCGAUGGAGCAUCUGGUAGCUGCUCCUUAGAGGGGGGGUAAUGUCACAGUGUCUGGUCUGUGUUUCCCUGGGUGUCCACUAGUGGUCUCACUUCCCCAUAGUCACCCCACUGCAGGCACUACAUUUCCCACAAGCCUUUGUCCCAUUCAUCACUGUUAAUUGCACCCAGCUGUCCCCACUUUCAUCGUUUUCGUGUGUGUGUGUGUGUGUGUGUGUGUGUGUGUGAAAUUACCAGUCUGUUUUAUGGAGUCCUUGGUUUGUCACCCUGCUUUCUCUUGUUCCCUAGUGUUUCUUGUUUUUGGACUGCUCUGUUGGAUAUUGACCUUUUGCCUGUCUGGAUUACGAGUUUUGGAUUCUCCCAUUAAAACACUGCAUUUGGAUCUCUCUCUGUCUGUGUGAUUCGUGACAAAACAUUCAGGCCUCUGCUGGUUUUCAAAUUAACAUUAACAUUUCCUGAUGUAUCCCAAUUCCUUA